rnacentral:rRNA from 1 species
CCCUUAGAUGUUCUGGGCCGCACACGCGCUACACUGAAGGAGGCAGCGUGUACUCCUGGAUCGAAAGAUUUGGGUAACCCGCGAAUCUCCUUCGUGCUAGGGAUUGAGGUUUGCAAUUAUCCUUCAUGAACGAGGAAUUCCCAGUAAGUGCAAGUCAUAAGCUUGCGCUGACUACGUCCCUGCCCUUUGUACACACCGCCCGUCGCUACUACCGAUUGAAUGAUUUAGUGAGGACUUCGGACUGGGACCGAUGCGGCUUUCGGGCUGCGUCGGUAUUCUGGAAAGAUGUCCAAACUGUAUCAUUUAGAGGAAGUGAAANUCGUAACA